UACGGAGGGGGCUAGCGUUAUCCGGAAUUACUGGGCGUAAAGGGUGCGUAGGUGGUUUCUUAAGUCAGAGGUGAAAGGCUACGGCUCAACCGUAGUAAGCCUUUGAAACUGGGAAACUUGAGUGCAGGAGAGGAGAGUGGAAUUCCUAGUGUAGCGGUGAAAUGCGUAGAUAUUAGGAGGAACACCAGUUGCGAAGGCGGCUCUCUGGACUGUAACUGACACUGAGGCACGAAAGCGUGGGGAGCAAACAGG
rnacentral:rRNA from 1 species